UACAUGCAAGUCGAGCGAACAGACGAGGAGCUUACUCCUCUGACGUUAGCGGCGGACGGGUGAGUAACACGUGGGUAACCUACCUAUAAGACUGGGAUAACUCCGGGAAACCGGGGCUAAUACCGGAUAACACAUGAAACCGCAUGGUUUCAUGAUGAAAGACGGUUUUGCUGUCACUUAUAGAUGGACCCGCGGCGUAUUAGCUAGUUGGUAAGGUAACGGCUUACCAAGGCAACGAUACGUAGCCGACCUGAGAGGGUGAUCGGCCACACUGGAACUGAGACACGGUCCAGACUCCUACGGGAGGCAGCAGUAGGGAAUCUUCCGCAAUGGGCGAAAGCCUGACGGAGCAACGCCGCGUGAGUGAUGAAGGUCUUCGGAUCGUAAAACUCUGUUAUUAGGGAAGAACAAGGAUGUAAGUAACUGUGCAUCCCUUGACGGUACCUAAUCAGAAAGCCACGGCUAACUACGUGCCAGCAGCCGCGGUAAUACGUAGGUGGCAAGCGUUAUCCGGAAUUAUUGGGCGUAAAGCGCGCGUAGGCGGUUUUUUAAGUCUGAUGUGAAAGCCCACGGCUCAACCGUGGAGGGUCAUUGGAAACUGGAAAACUUGAGUGCAGAAGAGGAAAGUGGAAUUCCAUGUGUAGCGGUGAAAUGCGCAGAGAUAUGGAGGAACACCAGUGGCGAAGGCGACUUUCUGGUCUGCAACUGACGCUGAUGUGCGAAA
rnacentral:rRNA from 1 species